UAGGAAUUUAAUAAGCUCAUUGGUCUGUUCAACUACCCCCCUUGCUUGGCUAGCUGGAUUUUAAACAGCUCCCAGGUAGGGAGAGAUACGGCCGAUAACUCCACUCGCAGCGCUGGACGGAGCCGGCUGGAAGAUAAACAUCCUUUCCGAAUCACAGGAGAAACCGAGGUCCGUCAGGACAGGACUACUGAUUGGACAAUUAUUACAGUGGAUCUGUCAAGCAGCCUAGUAGACGUGACCAUAUUGCAUAUGGAAAUGGAGAAGAAAACCUACCCUCCACUCAACCCAGUGAUGAACCCUUUCCAAGUUGUCUUCUUGUUAACACUGAACAGUUUGGCAGUGGCAUGGAUCAUCCCUCAGCCACGUCAAAACAUCUGGGUGACCCUGGUACCAACGCUCCAACAGGAAAACAUAUGUCUGUCCACUGCAA